rnacentral:rRNA from 1 species
AUUGAACGCUGGCGGCAGGCUUAACACAUGCAAGUCGAGCGGAGUGAUGGUGCUUGCACUAUUACUUAGCGGCGGACGGGUGAGUAAUGCUUAGGAAUCUGCCAUUUAGUGGGGGACAACAUUCCGAAAGGAAUGCUAAUACCGCAUACGUCCUACGGGAGAAAGCAGGGGAUCUUCGGACCUUGCGCUAAAUGAUGAGCCUAAGUCGGAUUAGCUAGUUGGUGGGGUAAAGGCCUACCAAGGCGACGAUCUGUAGCGGGUCUGAGAGUAUGAUCCGCCACACUGGGACUGAGACACGGCCCAGACUCCUACGGGAGGCAGCAGUGGGGAAUAUUGGACAACGGGCGGAAGCCUGAUCCAGCCAUGCCGCGUGUGUGAAGAAGGCCUUUUGGUUGUAAAGCACUUUAAGCGAGGAGGAGGCUCUCCUAGUUAAUACCUAGGAAGAGUGGACGUUACUCGCAGAAUAAGCACCGGCUAACUCUGUGCCAGCAGCCGCAGUAACAC